ensembl:lincRNA C630028M04Rik RIKEN cDNA C630028M04 gene
AGAUCCAGCGUGUUCUGUGCCUGAUGGAAGGAACAGUGGUUUAAGAAGCAGAGUACUCACGCUAAAAUAACAGCUCUAUUGCUAAUUAAAGAAUUCUGUCAAGGAUGCUGGACCGAAGUUUAACAGUGCUGUUGGAAGGAUCAGUGGACCUUGGCUGUGAACCUCAGUGGUCAGCUUUUAUUCAACUGUACUUUUCUUCUGUUGAUUGUGUUCCAUAUUUCUACAUUGUUUGGAGUGCAUUGUAGCUGUCUUCAGACACACCAGAAGAAGGCAUUGGAUCCCAUUACAUAUGGUUGGCAGCCACCAUGUGCUUGCUGGGGAUUGAACUCAGGACUCUGGAAGAGGAAUUGGUGCUCUUAACUGCUAUUUAUCUCUCCAGCCUUGUUUCUACUUUUUAAAUUGUUUAUUAACUGAGGAGUGAAGCUAAUUCUUUAAAAAGGCUUUAUCACUACUGCCACAUAUAAGCCUUUAUUGUUGAAAUUCCUAAUUUAGAUUAAUAUUAUUAAAGUUCAUGUAUUACUGAAUAUCAUCAUGAACAUUCACAGACACAUAUUUUUUCAUUGUUACAAUCCAACAGUAUAUUCCUCAAUUUGUAUAUCUUAUUGCUUGGCAUUGUAACAGAUUCAUUGAUAGAAAUAUCUUCUCUUUGUUAAUAAAAUGGAAAGGAUUCAUAAGAUUAAUUACCUUGUUUCUAGAUGCUGCCAUGGAUACAUACAUACAUAUAUACAUACAUNAAUAUCAAUUAAAUGUAGCUAUUUUGAACUAAUUAUGGCAUACUUACUGAUUUUCAUUUUUCUUUCUAAAGAAUGCUGUUUUGCUUCAUUUUCUGUGACUAACAAUAGCACAAUAUAGACUGUUAUAAAGAAGAGAGAUUCAUGUUGGCUUACACUUCAGGAGUUUUAAAAGCUUAUGGGCCAUAUCUAAAUGACAUUUUGGUUCUUACAGAAUUGCAGACACCAUAUAAUAUGAUACAGAUAAUGUGAAUUAGUUUAAUCUCUUUCUCUCUCAUUUUAUAAAGCUACUAGAAACAAACAUGAGUAUUAGCAUUCAGUGAUUCAACCUCCAUUCUGAUGACGAAAUCUCUUUCUAAACAUUUCCUAACAUUUCCACCUCUAUCAAAACUAUGUGAUGAAGUCUCAACACUGAUAGUGAAAUACCUUCCACUGGAAAUUAUAUCCCAUAUGAGUUUUGCAGGGACACGCCAUUUCCGAUUACACCAAACUACAUCGGCUAAGUGUUUUAGAACCUCAGAAUUAAUUCUGACUCUACCAAAUAGCAACUGUGAUCCGCGACAGUGAGUGCGAUCAUUUGACCGGUUGCUUUGGCUUUCUUUCUGUAAACGGAAAUGAUAUUCAUAGCCAUCUGUCGCAAAGUUGCUAUGAGGAUUAACUAAGCUAACAGACUAAUAUGUUGAGUGUCAGCACCGAGACAAACAGGGCUUAAAAUGUAAGUCCAGUGUAAGCAUAAACUAUCUCCACUUCCCCUCUUGAAAACAGUUCUGCUUUUUGAAAUACUGCUUAUUCUCGGCACAGAUUUUAUUUUUCUCGAUCUGUUCAUGCCUUGAAUUGUUUUUGUAAGACUGUAAUUUUUCCUCUGAUUUGAAUUUUACUGAAUCCCGAUUGCUGUUCAAGACUUCCUUUAAAGUUCUUAGUCUGGUAAAUCUGAAUUUCAUUUGCAUUCAUCUUCACAUCCCAGAUUUCCCCCUUCUUGAGCACUCGCUUUCAUUUCAAUGCAUCUGCAUUCUCUAAGGUCUAACUUAUCACAUGAAUCUUAUAUUUUCUUCUGUUCAAAAUUGUUUGCAAUGAUUGUUCUAACAUUGAGCGAUUGACACGGUGUCUACCUAGAGCCUGCACUGCUAUGGACUUGUGUUCAUAAUACUGGAAGGUAUUUUGAAUGUUACCCAUGGAGAAAGGUCAAUGCCAACCCAGUUACAAACUUUUCAGUCUACAAUGAUGAUCUGCCUGCAAGAUGUGCUAGUGCAACAGUAGCAAAAAGCUUGUGGAAGUAACCACGAAAUUACAUAACUUGAUUUAGGCCCACUCCAUGAAACUGAGACUGUUUGCAUCACAGAUUGGAUGGGCAAGAAGCUAAGACCAGAUAGGCCAACGACCUACACCAAUGACCAAAUAUUACUGUUCAGCUAAAGGAAAAUAGCCAUAACAUGAUUGUUACAGGCCUUCUGGUAUCGCCAUAGGUUUUAUGAUGUUACAAUAGAAAACAAAGAUUGGUACACAAAUAUCAGAAAUAGCAAUGACUCUCAAUUAAGGUAUAUACAAAGUGAUGUUAAAUUAAGGAUGAGCUAUGUUAUAAAAGAUAAAAUGAAAAAAUAUAUGGAGAGAUCUCUGGAAAAAUCUUUGUGGAUGACCACUACAACACUCCAGCGAGCUUUGAAAGAACUGGUGGUGACUACUAACAGCCAAUAGUGGAAAUAACCAGCCACAUUUUACAAUGCAAGAUGAGCCAUUGGACUUCGUUGACUUCAAUUUUACAAAUUUUGGUUUAAAAACAUAAUUAUUUCGAAAUAAUUUACCAUUACCUGGCUUACCUAUUAAAAUCUAUUUUUCAUGAUUUUGACAAUUUCUUUCGAUCCUUCUCUUAGUGAGCUUAAUGUUUUGUGGUUGAAUUUUCAAAGCACGAUUAUGUUUUUUAAACUUUGUUCUCAAUGGCCGGUAUCAAGCCGAAGAUGUUUGAAUUUAAGACUGAAGCAAGAUUGGAUGCUGAGAAGGUUGGUGGUUUUCAGAGCACAGAUAGAGAAUGUUAGUUCUGCCUGGAUCAUGUUCUGUUUUCUCAUUUUUGAUUUGAAGAAGCCAUACAUGGAUGUGCAUGUUUCAGUAUUUAACUUGCCAUUGGAUCUGUGUUUUGCCUUCUGCCCCUAUAUGUUUUAUUGCAAAGAGAGGGGAGAACAGGGGAUGGCAAAAAUAACCAUAGCUCUUCAAAGUCUUGACUUCUGGUUCACUUGGAGAUGCCCGAGUGAGGCUCUUAAGGAGGAAAAGAUAAAACCUUUCUGUGCUUCAGGAAAGGUGAUCCCUGUAUAAACCAUGGAAUAUUUCAUAGCUCAGUUGCAGAACUCAAGUUGUUGUUUCACACUCUAAGUGUCUUUCUCAGCACAUUUUAAUGUGCAUAUUUACCUGGAUAUAGCUGUGAUGUAAAGAAUAUAAUGAAUAAAUUAUUUAUUGGC